rnacentral:rRNA from 1 species
ACGGUGCUUUUUCUUCUUCGGAGGGAGAAGUAACCCGGCGGACGGCUCAGUAACACGUGGACAACUUGCCCUUGGGACCGGGAUAACCCCUGGGAAACUGGGGCUAAUACCGGAUAGAGCAUCGGUUGCUGGAAUGCACGAUGUUCGAAAGCUGAGGCACCCAAGGAUAGGUCUGCGGCCGAUUAGGUUGUUGUUGAUGUGACGGAUCAACAAGCCUACGAUCGGUACGGGUUGUGAGAGCAAUAGCCCGGAGAUGGGUUCUGAGAAAAGAACCCAGGUCCUACGGGACGCAUCAGGCGCGAAAACUUUACAAUGUGCGAAAGCACGAUAAGGGAACUCUGAGUGCCUCCUAAGGAGGCUGUUCAGGUGUCUAAAAAGCAUCUGGAGGAAGGGCUGGGUAAGACCGGUGCCAGCCGCCGCGGUAACACCGGCAGCUCAAGUGGUAGCCACGUUUAUUGGGUCUAAAGCGUCCGUAGCCGGCUGAGUAAGUUCCUUGGGAAAUUUGACCGCUCAACGGUUAAGCUAUCAGGGAAUACUGCUUGGCUUGGGACCGGGAGAGGUCAGAGGUACUCCAAGGGUAGGGGUGAAAUCCAUUAAUCCUUGGGGGACCACCGGUAGCGAA